rnacentral:rRNA from 1 species
GGGCCCGCACAAGCGGUGGAGUAUGUGGUUUAAUUCGAUGCAACGCGAAGAACCUUACCAGGGCUUGACAUCCUGCGAAUCUCUGGGAAACCGGAGAGUGCCUUCGGGAACGCAGUGACAGGUGGUGCAUGGCUGUCGUCAGCUCGUGUCGUGAGAUGUUGGGUUAAGUCCCGCAACGAGCGCAACCCACGUCUUUAGUUGCCAGCAUUUAGUUGGGCACUCUAGAGAGACCGCCGGUGACAAACCGGAGGAAGGUGUGGAUGACGUCAAGUCAUCAUGCCCCUUACGUCCUGGGCUACACACGUACUACAAUGCUACGGACAAAGGGCAGCAAACUCGCGAGAGCUAGCAAAUCCCAUAAACCGUGGCUCAGUUCAGAUCGUAGGCUGCAACUCGCCUACGUGAAGGAGGAAUCGCUAGUAAUCGC